AUUGAACGCUGGCGGCAUGCCUUACACAUGCAAGUCGAACGGCAGCACGGGAGCUUGCUCCUGGUGGCGAGUGGCGAACGGGUGAGUAAUACAUCGGAACGUACCCUGAAGUGGGGGAUAACGUAGCGAAAGUUACGCUAAUACCGCAUAUUCUGUGAGCAGGAAAGAGGGGGAUCGCAAGACCUCUUGCUUUAGGAGCGGCCGAUGUCGGAUUAGCUAGUUGGUGAGGUAAAGGCUCACCAAGGCUAAGACGGGUAGCUGGUCUGAGAGGAUGGCCAGCCACACUGGAACUGAGACACGGUCCAGACUCCUACGGGAGGCAGCAGUGGGGAAUCUUGCGCAAUGGGGGAAACCCUGACGCAGCGACGCCGCGUGGACGACGAAGGCCUCGGUUGUAAAGUCCUGUGGGUGAGACGAAGACAGUGGUUCGAAUAGGCCAUUGGUUGACGGUAGUCACCUUAGCAAGCACCGGCUAACUCUGUGCCAGC
rnacentral:rRNA from 1 species